rnacentral:tRNA from 1 species
GGUAAGGUGGCUGAGUGAAGCGGUAGGCUGUAAAUCUACUUACGAGAGCAAGCAAUCUCCCUUAUCA